UUUUAUUAUAAGGUAGCAUGUUGUUCUGAGACUCUGUAAACUGAGAUGAUCAAGAUAUUAUGAAGAUUCCUUUCUCUCCCCAGAAUCCUGAAGUCGGUCCUAAAGUCAGCAAACUCAGAGUUAAAGUUUCAGCAAGUAACAGCAAACUAGAUUAACCAUGGCAUAAACAUACAGAAGUCCCCCCUUAUCUGAAAGAUCAAGAAGCUGGAGGUAUUUGUUUAAAAGUUCAACCAUCUCAGUGCAGGCAUCUCAGCAAUUUCCUUGGCUUUUCCUUUGUAGUUGCAAAAUAGCUGCUUCAGCUCCAGACACUGGAACAAGAAGGAAAAGGAGGAGGAAGAGGAGAAGGAGGCAACAAAAAGAAGAGGGAAAAGACCAAUGCCAGAAACGUCUGCUCAUUUUUAUCAGGAGAGCAAGUUUUCCCAGAAGUGCCCAUCCUAAGGCCUAAGGCCUCUCCUUGCUGCAGGGGAGGCUGGGAAGGCAUUUUGAUUGACGAGAGAGGGAAUCAG
rnacentral:lncRNA from 1 species